UCUAUGUGCUAUUCAAGAGGAAGAGUCUCUU
rnacentral:piRNA from 1 species